AUUGAACGCUGGCGGCAGGCCUAACACAUGCAAGUCGAACGAGUGGCGGACGGGUGAGUACUGUCUGGGCAACUGCCUGAUGGAGGGGGAUAACUACUGGAAACGGUAGCUAAUACCGCAUACCAUCGGAUGUGCCCAGAUGGGAUUAGCUAGGAGGUGGGGUAAAGGCGCACCUAGGCGACGAUCCCUAGCUGGUCUGAGCGGAUGACCGGCCACACUGGAACUGAGACACGGUCCAGACUCCUACGGGAGGCAGCAGGUGGAAAUAUUGCACAAUGGGCGCAAGCCUGAUGUAGCCAUGCCGCGUGUAUGAAGAAGGCCUUCGGGUUGUAAAGUACUUUCAGCGGGGAGGCGUUACCCGCAGAAGAAGCACCGGCUAACUCCGUGCCAGCCGCCGCGGUAAUAC
rnacentral:rRNA from 1 species